rnacentral:rRNA from 1 species
AAAUUGAAGAGUUUGAUCAUGGCUCAGAUUGAACGCUGGCGGCAGGCCUAACACAUGCAAGUCGAACGGUAACAGGAAGCAGCUUGCUGCUUCGCUGACGAGUGGCGGACGGGUGAGUAAUAUCUGGGAAACUGCCUGAUGGAGGGGGAUAACUACUGGAAACGGUAGCUAAUACCGCAUAAUGUCGCAAGACCAAAGAGGGGGACCUUCGGGCCUCUUGCCAUCGGAUGUGCCCAGAUGGGAUUAGCUUGUUGGUGGGGUAACGGCUCACC